rnacentral:rRNA from 1 species
CUAUACAUGACUCUGCGCAUAUCAAUAAGCGGAGGAAAAGGCAUACCUACGCUUAGGAUGUUGACGAGACUGUCGAUCUCAUCUAUACAUGACUCUGCGCAUAUCAAUAAGCGGAGGAAAAGUCAAUACCUACGCUUAGGAUGUUGACGAGACUGUCGAUCUCAUCUAUACAUGACUCUGUGCAUAUCAAUAAGCGGAGGAAAAGAAACUAACAAGGAUUCCCUUAGUAACGGCGAGUGAAGCGGGAAGGAGCUCAAAUUUGAAGUCUUCAAGGUUCUACCUUGACGAAUUGUAGUUUAUAGAAGUGUUUUCUGUUAGUAGAGUGGCAAAAGUUCUUUGGAAUAGGACAUCAUAGAGGGUGAGAAUCCCGUAUUUGGUCAUUCUUUCUAGCUUUGUGAUACACUUUCAACGAGUCGGAUUGUUUGGGAAUGCAGUCCAAAAUGGGUGGUAAAUUUCAUCUAAAGCUAAAUAUUGGCGAGAGACCGAUAGCGAACAAGUACCGUGAGGGAAAGAUGAAAAGAACUUUGAAAAGAGAGUUAAACAGUACGUGAAAUUGUCAAAAGGGAAGCGUUUGACACCAGUGUUGUUUUUCCGAAAAUCAAUUAAAAAUUGAUUCAUGCCAGGUUGUAUUGACCUUAUCAGCUUGCAAUUUGGUUUUGGGUCUCUUUUUGAUGCACUUUUCGGUUAACAAGUCAACAUCAAUUUCCUUUGCUGUAAAAAGGUAAGAGGAAGGUGGCUUCAAUUUCGGUUGAAGUGUCUAUAGCCUUUUAUCUCUGCAGUCGGGGAGAUUGAGGUCUGCAGCGUAGAUCCUUCGGGGCUAGAUACAUUUGUGCUAAGUUAUAGUCUUUUAUAGACAACUUGUUGACUAUGAUUGAUCUUGUAGCUUACUCGCUUAUGCUAUUUUACCUACGCUUAGGAUGUUGACGAGACUGUCGAUCUC